rnacentral:rRNA from 1 species
AUGGCAGGACCUGACAGCCCAGGGAAGACUGUGGUGGAUUCAGGGAAUAGCGGCGACGGCGCCAUGGUCGUGCAUCAGCGCGUCGUCCGCGACACCGACGGGGCCUGGCCCAUGCUGACGCGUACGAACUACGCGGACUGGGACCUCCUGAUGCAAGUGAUGCUGGAGGCGCGCCAACUCUGGGUCGCCGUCAAUGACGGGACUCCGGAGCGAGACACAGAUCGCACGUCAAUGGAGUGCCUGCUGCGAUCGGUGCCGCCGGAGAUGACGUCCAUGCUCGCCGUCAAGCCCACGGCGAAGGACGCCUGGGGCACGAUCAAGACAAUGCGCCUGGGCGUGGUGCGCGUUCGAGAGGCCAAGGCGACGACCCUGCGCCGCCAGUACGAGGCGAUCAAGUUCAACGACGGCGGGAGCAUCGACGAUUUCGGUAUGUGUCUAUCUUCUCUAGUAACUUAG